UGAUUUACAAAAUAAUUUCCAAAUUUCAAAACAUUGAUCCAUUCUCUCCCCAACAAGGCCUUCCUUUCUCCUCUCGCCACGACAGCUCAAAGCUUAGCGAUCGUUCCCCGAAAAUCGACCUUGACAUCUAUUUCACCCAGAAUCGGUACCACAGUUCUGUCAUAGGUCUUAACAAUUAUUCCCGCUUCUCUUACCUGCACGUCUGGGAGGUAUCUUUUGAAAUCCUUCUCCGAUAUUAAAGUCAGACAGCUACCCGUAUAGAUUUCAAAAGUCAUCAAAGUGUCCUCUACUCUCACCUUAAUCACAUAGGGAGGGUCAUUCGUAGCAUACUUGACUCUAUAAUCAUACGUCCUCAUGAAGACCAUUCUUUGAACGGAUUCUUCCUCCUCCUCCUCUUGAUUCUUGAUCUGAUUAAUCUUUCUCUGGUUCAGAAACCGGCUCACCUGUCUUUCGCUUGUAUGUUCCUCACGGCUCCUGCAGAUGGUUGCCAAGUGACCUCUUUUCCCGCAUCUGAAACAGGUCGCCUCUCUAAAUCUGCAUAAGUCUUUAUGCAACCUCCCGCAAUGUAUGCACUUUCUCUUUUGCUCUCUAUCAUAUCUAUUCCUGACUUCUGCGCGUAUUUUGUCCACGCUAUCUGCAGGCUCAUUGACAUGGAAUAUUCUGGUAUUUUUUUCUGCUGCCUCCAUCGACAACGCAAUUUCAACUACUCUUGCCAACGGCACAUCUCCUUCAGACAAGAUCCAUCUCUGAAUUUUUGCAUUUCUCAAACCGCACACCAAUUUGUCUCUUAAGGAUUCCUUCAAAAAUUCGCCAAAUCCACAAGUUGAGGCUAGCCGCUUGAUUUCCACCAGAUAUUCUGAAACACUUUCCGUUUCCUUUUGUAUUCUUCCAAAAAACAUAAAUCUCUCUACGAUUAUAGAUCGCCUUGGGGAAAAAUAUUCAACAAGUUUCUCAAUCAAUUCUUCAUAUUUAUACUCUUUAGGUAACUUCGGGCUACAUAAAUUUUUCAAUGUAUCAUACGCCUUCCCGCCAAUUAGAGUCAACAAAUAGGCUCUUUUCUUUUCUUCAUUUGCCUCUUCUAGAAUUAGAAACUGCUCCAAACGCUCGAUAAAUGAGCAAAAAUUUUCAUUUUUUUCUUCAAAUUCCUUAAAAUGGUAAUGAGCCAUCAUGAAACAAUUUUUCUUAUGUAAAUUUCCAAUAACUUAUUUCUUCUUUAAUUUUAAACAAAAUUAUUCAUAUUACCUUAUACUAUCGCUUGGGUACUUACUCUUAAAUUCUCGUCGCCAAUGCAAUGUUUUCUAGCCAGAAGACUUUGAAAAUAGUAUAUAUUUUUAAUGCUAACAACAAACAAAGUUAACACAAUUCCAUAUUAAAAAAACAACUAACUGCUAUAUACACAAACACUAUAUAUAUCCAUAUACACACAAUUAUCAUCAUCAACUCUGUGCAAAACAAAUAUUAAACUAAUUUGCUAAUAUAUCACAGUCCCAAUCCAAUCAACCCGAAACGAUAAUAUUACAUAUAUGUGUGUUAUUUAUAUCUAGUCACAUUCCAUUUUACUAUUUAGAACCAUAAGUAAAGUUUUAUGGCUGAUUUUCUAUCAUAUCUAUUGUACAUGAUGUGAAUUUAUAUCUAUUGCUUAAUUGCAUGAUUGUAUUUAAAGUGUAUCUAUAUAAUUGCUGGAUUAUAACAGAUAGUUUUGAGACAGAAAUCUGAAUUUUUUGGAUAUCUUUUUCUUUUUAUGACAUUAAAAAUCGCUUAAAAGAAUCAAGUAUCAACUUCAAGUAAUUUCUGAGCUGAAAUCCUGCAUCACCUACAGACAGAUAAUUUCCUUCUAGCUUAUCAUCUUAGAGUCUUUGUCUGUUAAUUCACUAUCGCAGCUUCAUUGCUAUCACACCUUCAUAUAUUCCAUCUCCUCUUGCUAUUAAUCUCAUCCAAUUAAAAACAGGAAUAUUCAAAAAUAAUUUAAAAUAGCUAACAAAACUGUUCAAUACAGAGAUUUGAGCAUGAACCUAUUAAUCCUUCAUAUUUGUUUUCAACACCUUGCAUAUAUAGUUCAGGCAUUCUUUCAAAAAAUCUGUCUUUAAACCUAACCAAUAUUCUUUAAUAAACUUUGUCUCCAUUUAGGGGAUGUUUUAAUUUUUAAGGAAAGGACAUAAAAAUCGAAAUCUAUAUUGGUUUUAUAUAUAUGUGUUGUAUCUUUUAUACGGGUUCAUUUACCUUUAGCUUUAUAUAUAUUUAAUAUAGUUACAGCCUUUAUGUAUAUAGACAAUUAAUAUACCGCCGUGCUAGAACAAUUAUAUAUUUAUUAUGCGGCGUUGUUUACAUACUGUGUUGCCAGAUCUUUUGUAGCACAGAUUAUAACUUUGACCACUGGACUCCGAUGAUGUCGAGGGGGCUGGAUCCAAUUGGGGCGAUGACUGGCUGCUCCUUCUCUGUCCAACAGGAUAACUUCUGGGCCGUAGGUGAACUCUGUUCCGUUUUAACAUUCGGCCCUCGUUGUUCUGAAUGAUGUAUGAUCGAGGCUGGUUGGCUUCUCCAAUGAUGGUAGCUGGUCUCCAGGCAUUGCUAGUUUUGGCAUUUACCUGUUCACCAGAACUCAUUUUAGGAAGUAUUUUGGCAUUUCGGUCAUAAUAUUCUUUCAUCUUAUAUUGAUUUUCCCUCUUCUGCUGUAGAAUGUUUUCCGUGCUAAUGAAAGCAGGUUUUAGCUUUGUGGUUUUCAUUGGGAUCAAGGUUCUCAAGUUUCUUCCCAUUAGCAUCUGAGCUGGGGACGGUAGAUUAUUUGACGGAGUUGUUCUCAGGGCUAUUAAACACAUAUAAGGAUCAGUGUUGUCUUGACGGCAUUUCUUAAGUUGCUUCUUUACUGUUUGCACCAUCCUCUCCACUAAUCCGUUUGAUUUUGGGUAUCCUGGGCUAGAGGUUUUAUGUUCUAUGUCCCAUUCAUUUGUAAAAUUAGUAAAGUCUUGUGAUGUAAAUGGUGGUCCAUUAUCAGUGAUGAUGAUCUCUGGAAUCCCAUGUCUUGCGAAGGUAGAUUUCAAAACUGGUAGAAUCUCUUUUGCUGAAGUUGAUGCUACCUUGAUGACUUCAGGAAAGCUGCUGUAGUAGUCUACUAUUAUUAUGAAUACAGAUUGGUCUAGAUAGAAGAAAUCAAUAGCUACUUUUUGCCAAGGGUAGUCUGCUAUUUCGUGAGGUAUAAGUGGUUCUUUCCUUUGCGAAGGUUGUGAUUCUUGACAAAUUCUACACUUAUAAACCAUCUCUUCUAUUUCUCUAUCCAGUCCAGGCCAAUAAAUAGCUUCAUGUGCUCUGUUUUUACAAGCAGAGAUCCCUUGAUGAGACAUGUGUAGUGUUUGCAAGAUGCUUUCCCUUUGGACUUUAGGGAUGACAAGUCUUUGUCCUCUACAAAUCAGGUCUUUCCAUAUAUAUAGUUCUUCUUUACAAUGCCAGUAGGGCUUAACAGCAUAGUCCACACUUUUCUUAUGAAUAGGCCACCCAUUCAGUAUAUGAUCCCUUAAUUUUAUCAUUUCUUCAUCUGACUCCAUAUCUCUGAGAAUUUCCUGGUAUCUUUUAGUGGUCACCUUCAGAUUUAGAGUCAUAAUGGUGUUCUGGAGAUCCAGAUCUGAGGUGUCGAUGGUUUCCUCUGAAAUUGAAUCUCUAGAUAGAGUGUCUGCGGUGUGAAUCACUUUUCCUGGUACAUAUUCUAAAUUAAAAUCAUAUCGCAUCAAUUUCAAGACCAGUCUUUCAAGUCUUGGAGAUAAUUCCUCUAGUGGCUUUUUUAGUAUAGCCAACAAGGGUUUAUGAUCCGUCUGGGCUGUGAACUUUCUUCCAUACAAAUGAUAGUUAAAUCUUUGGCAUCCAUACCAGAGAGCUAAGAGCUCCUUUUCAAUCUGGGCAUAUUUUUUCUGAGUGUUAUUCAAGGAUGCGGAUGCAAAAGCGAUGGGUCUUCCCUCUUGCAUCAAGACAGCCCCAAGCCCAUGUUGACUAGCGUCCACUGAAAGUGUUACCUUCCGAUGGGGGUCAAAGAGGCCAAGAACUGGAGGAUUUGAUACCAAAUUUUUCAGCUCAAUGAAUUCUUUUUCUAUAGCCUCAUUCCAUGUCCACAGGGUAUUCUUUUUUAGGAGUUGUCUUAACAAGACAGUUUUAUCUGCCAGAUUAUGCAUGAAUUUAGCUAGAUAGUUCACAGUUCCCAAAAAUCUUUGAAGAGAUGUCUUGUCCAUUGGUCUUUUUAUUUUUUGUAUUGCUUCUAAUUUAGAUGGAUCUGCAGAGAUGCCAUUCUUGGAUAUCUCAUGUCCAAUGAACUUAACUUUUUCUUGGGCCAGUUGCAUUUUAUUGAAUUCAAACUUUAAAUUAUUUUUUCUAGCAAUUUCCAAAACCGUAAUCAGUCUACUAUUGUGCUCCGUGAGGGAGUUUCCGUAUAUUAUUAUAUCAUCCAUGUAUACUUUUACUCCUUCAAUUCCUGUAAACAUACUUUGCAUUUUUUUAUAGAAAACUUCUGGAGCGCUGCAAAUACCAAAAGGUAACCGAUGGAAUCUGUAAUACCCAUAAGGUGUAGCCAUUGUUAAAAGGCUAGAUGACUUUUCGUCUAACUUGAUUUGCCAAAAGGCUGACUUAGCAUCAAGUACUGUAUAGAUGGGUGAUUUUGUGAUAUCAGCAAUGAUGCCUUCAGGGGCAGGAAGUUGACGAUAUUCCAUUUUAAUCCAUGGAUUUAGCUCUCUAGGGUCCAUACAGAUACGAACCUUUCCAUUUGGUUUCUUAAUGAUUACCAUCGGGUGUGCCCACUCUGCUGGUUGGUCUACCUUUGAGAUGAUCUUUUGUUCCUCCAUCGAUUUUAGCUCCAUCUCAACUGGUUUUUUUCAGUGCAAACGGAAUUCGGCGAGCUAACUGAAUUCUUGGAUGUGCAUUUUCUCUCAGGAUCACAGAAUGCUCUCCAGGGAGUGUUCCGAUCUCAUCAAAGACAUCUCUGUAGGACUCUAUUAUCUUUGUAGGUGAAGCAUCCAUCUUUGUCCUAGUAUGGUCCUGUUCCAACGACUCUACUUUUAAUAUCAGCUCUAAUUUUUUACACGCUGCCAAUCCCAAAAUUGGUGGAGCUGGCAAAUCCACGACUAGAAAUUCAAGGAUUUCAGAUUUUUUUCCCAGAGGUACAUGAAGCCUUGCAUUUGCCCCUUAUUGGUACUUUUUCUCCUGUAUAUGAAUAAACCGCAAUCCCAGUUGGAUAUAUGCAGGGUUUAUUUUGCCAAUUUUUAAUGGUAUCCAAUGGCAGGAUGUUCACCUGUGCUCCUGUGUCUAAUUUAAAAUUAACUGAAUUAUUCUCCACCAAGAUUAUUUUAGUCCACUCUAGACCAGUAAUGCUAUCUAGGGAUAGGUAUUGAAGACACAUUUCUUCUUCCUCUUCCGCUCUUUCCUCCAACAUAUGCACUCUGUUCCUACACAUUUUAGCAAAAUGGUUUGGUUUUUUACAUGAAUUGCAUAUUUUACCAUAUGCAAAACAUUUACCAUAUGGAUGUCUGGAACCACAAUUUUGGCAAACCUUUGCAUUAGGAUGUUCCUCAGAUACAUUAGGUUUUCUACCAACUGGAUAUUUGAAAUUCUUUUUAUAUUGCUUUUUAUAUUUUAUAGAAUGUAAAUCAACAUCUUCUCUAGUUAUAUUUUUUACUUGUUGUCUAGAAGUUUCAGUAGCUCUUCCCAAGUCUAUGGCUUUAGCUAAAGAAAGAUCAGGAUCUUGUAGCAUCCUUUCUUUUAAAGCUUUGUCUUUAAUUCCAAUUAUAAUUCUAUCUCUGACCAAGGAAUCUGCAAGCUCUCCAAAUUCGCAGUCCAUGCUUUUAUUUUUCAAUUCAGUUACAUAGUCAUCAAAAUUCUGAUUCUCCCCUUGUUCCGUUGUAAAAAACUGGUACCUCUUAUAGGUUGUGUUUUUAUAUGGUUUAAAGUGUCCAUCAAACAGUUCAAGUAUAUCCGGAACAGUCGGAGAGGCAUCAGUUUCUUGUAUUUUAAAUGUAGAGUAUAUAUCUAGGGCUAACUCACCAAUAUUAUAGAGUAGAAUAGCCCUUUGUCUUGGAAUAGAUUUUUUAUCUAUUUCUGUGGCUAUGUAAAACAUUUGGAAUCUCUUUUUCCAUUUACCCCAUGCUUCUGAUGGGUUUGUUCCAGGCACAAAUGGCUGCAAACUAUUCCCGGUACUCGAGGCCAUUUUUCAACGUGUUAGGCUUAAUUGAUAUUUGAAAUUUUACUUAUCUUUCAAAAUCCCACCGCUGCCACCAUGUUGUAUCUUUUAUACGGGUUCAUUUACCUUUAGCUUUAUAUAUAUUUAAUAUAGUUACAGCCUUUAUGUAUAUAGACAAUUAAUAUACCGCCGUGCUAGAACAAUUAUAUAUUUAUUAUGCGGCGUUGUUUACAUACUGUGUUGCCAGAUCUUUUGUAGCACAGAUUAUAACUAUAUACAACAAUAUGAAAUCUUGUGUAUAAGAGAACUGAUUUGAAUUUAGAAUACAGGAUUAUAAUGAAUAAGUGUGGUUAUGUUUUAUAUUUUUAAACUUUCAUUCAAUUGUUUCAUAUUUUAAUAUGCUUAAAAAUCCAGCAUAAAUAUGAAUUUUUAUUUUUAUUUUUAAGCCAUACCUUCGAAGACCUCUGAACUCCUAGUUUCCAAAUGCUUUUUAUAUAUUUUUAUUAAUUUUUUAUUCAUGGUUUGAUUUUUUGCACAUUUUUUCCCCAUUAUUUAUUUUUUUCUUCUAAAAAAAUUAUAAUAUUCUUAUACUGAAAUAGUCUGGUACCAUAAAAUUGACAUGUUUUUCUUUAUUUUCUUUAUCGGUGAAAAAAUAUAAUUAGCUUAUCAUCGUUGAAAUAUUUGAAUGACAUCAUUAAUGGUUUACUUUUUAUUGUGUAAAUAUGGCAUUUAUUGACACUGUCUGUAAAGAUAGGUUAGUACAUUUUUACUUUUAAACCUUGUUUAUACACCAAGCUUGAACAAACUAGUACCAGUACCUCUUUAGCGGCACAAAAUACUUUUAUUUAUAGUUGGUUUACACUGAAUGCUUUGAUUAGUUUCUCUUUUUCCAAAUUUUCCCAAAAGUUGGGUCUAAACGAACAGACGUCCAUACAGGCGCCAUUGAUCGUUUAUUUACAUUUAUAAGAUCCUAAAUAAUAUUUUCAAUGACUAAUCACACUUACAGUACACAUUCCUAACGGCGGAGGCUCCGAUUGCACUCAAUAAACGCGAUAGAAAUAACAAAAAUAUAUAUUCACAACAUUCUUAGACUAAUUCAAAGCCAUUUAUUUAUAAAAUACACAAAAAUACACUUAGACCAAUUUAAUAGCAGCCGAUAACUCGUUCAGGUGACUUGUAUAAUACAAAUUAAUAAUAAACAGAAAAUCGCUCUUUUUAUAUACACUUCUGUAAGUGAGAUAAUACAUUUCUGUGGAAAUUUGAAAAAAUACUACUGUUUUAUUAUUCUGCACUAGGUAUACUGACAAAAAGAAUUCCAUUUUUGAAUCAACCAAAACUAAUUAAACCUAAAAGCUAGCAGAUCGAUAUACAGUGGUACCUCGACAUACGAGUUAAUUCGUUCCGCAACCUUGCUCGUAUCUUGAAUUACUCGUAUUUCGAAGCAAAUUUCCCCAUACAAAAAAAUUGAACUACCAUUAAUCCGUUCCAACCUCCAAAAUGUCACCCCAGUUAUUUUUGUUACGUGGUUUUAAAUAAUAAAAACGUAUUUAUAAAUAUCAAAUAUUUAUUGCACAAAAUCAAAAAAGAGAAUGUAAAGAAAUAAAUUAGAUAUCCUCACUGGCCUUUGCCUUUUUCGCUACAUUUUUCUCGCUUUCACCUGUAGGCCGUUUAGAAAAAAACAUGUCCAAGGAGGUUUGUGUCUUCCUCCCUCUCAGAAUGUUCUGGAAAUGAGUUAGGCAAGUGUCAUUAAAAAGGUCAGAUGCACGACCUGUUGCAACUUUUUCUGUUUUUUUUUUCCACGAACUGUGAAACUCUCUCCCACAUACCUAAGAUCUCCUUUAUCUAACUUGUAGAAAUAACCUCCUCCUCUGACUCCUCAAAACCAAUUACUUGCAUAACCUCAGUAUGCUGCUGUGACUGUAACUCUUGUAUCUCCUCAGUCGUCAGUUCCUGGGUGUGCGCGUGAUGGCGCGACUGCGUGUUACUACCAACCCAACUCGUAUCUCGAAUUUCGCUCGUAACUAAAAGCAAAAAUCACUUGCUCGUCGGCUCGUAUCUCGAAAAACUCGUAUGUUGGGGCGCUCGUAUGUCGAGGUACCACUGUAUUUGGUGGGGUACAUUGCUAUCUGUAGCUACAGAUAUAUGCAUACCACCUACUGUAUAUGCUUGUAAGAUUUUUUAAAAUAUAUUAUUCCAUGGUAUAGUUAUACAAAGUCAUGGAGACUGAAUUUAUGGUUUAAAUGCCUAUAAAAUAUAUUUUUAAAGCUCUUACAUGUUUUUUCCACAGUUAAAUGUAUAGGAAAUGAAAACAUUAAAGCGUGAUUGUUUCUUUUACACAUUAAAUAAACUUCUACUGUUGUAAUAAAGUAAAAUUUGGAUUAUAGAUUGGAACUACAAGGUAAUAAGACCAAAUCCAAAUAUAAUAUACAUACUCCAUGAGAGGACACUCAUGCUAGAGGACAUCUCUCUACAAAGGACAGUUUCCAUCACCAAUACAGUAGAACCUACUCCAUGAGAGGACACUCAUGCUAGAGGACAUCUCUCUACAAAAGACAGUUUCCAUCACCAAUACAGUAGAACAUACUCCAUGAGAGGACACUCCCGCUAGAGGACACCUCUCUACAAAGGACAGUUUCCAUCACCAAUACAGUAGAACAUACUCCAUGAGAGGACACUCGCGCUAGAAGACACCUCUCUACAAAGGACAGUUUCCAUCACCAAUACAGUAGAACAUACUCCAUGAGAGGACACUCACGCUAGAAGACAUCUCUCUACAAAGGACAGUUUCCAUCACCAAUACAGUAGAACAUAUUCCAUGAGAGGACACUCACGCUAGAGGACAUCUCUCUACAAAGGACAGUUUCCAUCACCAAUACAGUAGAACAUACUUCAUGAGAGGACACUCAUGCUAGAGGACAUCUCUCUACAAAGGACGUUUCCAUCACCAAUACAGUAGAACAUACUCCAUGAGAGGACACUCACGCUAGAGGACAUCUCUCUACAAAGGACAGUUUCCAUCACCAAUACAGUAGAAUAUACUCCAUGAGAGGACACUCCCGCUAGAGGACAUCUCUCUACAAAGGGCAGUUUUCAUCACCAAUACAGUAGAACAUACUCCAUGAGAGGACACUCAUGCUAGAGGACAUCUCUCUACAAAGGACAGUUUCCAUCACCAAUACAGUAGAACAUACUCCAUGAGAGGACACUCCCGCUAGAGGACAUCUCUCUACAAAGGGCAGUUUUCAUCACAAAUACAGUGGAACAUACUCCAUGAGAGGACACUCACGCUAGAAGACACCUCUCUACAAAGGACAGUUUCCAUCACCAAUACAGUAGAACAUACUCCAUGAGAGGACACUCAUGCUAGAGGACAUCUCUCUACAAAGGACGUUUCCAUCACCAAUACAGUAGAACAUACUCCAUGAGAGGACACUCAUGCUAGAGGACAUCUCUCUACAAAGGACAGUUUCCAUCACCAAUACAGUAGAAUAUACUCCAUGAGAGGACACUCCCGCUAGAGGACAUCUCUCUACAAAGGGCAGUUUUCAUC
rnacentral:piRNA from 1 species